CCUACGGGAGGCAGCAGUGAGGAAUAUUGGACAAUGGGCGCAAGCCUGAUCCAGCCAUGCCGCGUGCAGGAUGACGGUCCUAUGGAUUGUAAACUGCUUUUAUACGAGAAGAAACACUCCGACGUGUCGGAGCUUGACGGUAUCGUAAGAAUAAGGAUCGGCUAACUCCGUGCCAGCAGCCGCGGUAAUACGGAGGAUCCAAGCGUUAUCCGGAAUCAUUGGGUUUAAAGGGUCCGUAGGCGGUUUAAUAAGUCAGUGGUGAAAGCCCAUCGCUCAACGGUGGAACGGCCAUUGAUACUGUUAAACUUGAAUUAUUAGGAAGUAACUAGAAUAUGUAGUGUAGCGGUGAAAUGCUUAGAGAUUACAUGGAAUACCAAUUGCGAAGGCAGGUUACUACUAAUUGAUUGACGCUGAUGGACGAAAGCGUGGGUAGCGAACAGGAUUAGAUACCCUGGUAGUCCACGCCGUAAACGAUGGAUACCUAGCUGUGGUAGNAUCUCNGUGNGUAGACGAAGUAGAGUAGUAUACCACCGCGGAGGUAACGUUCGUCGAGAAGUAGAAGUUACGAAGAAGUUAGACGGCGNGAGAGNGCGACGGACGACGACGAGGGAGGAGG
rnacentral:rRNA from 1 species